rnacentral:rRNA from 1 species
UACGUAGGUGGCAAGCGUUGUCCGGAUUUACUGGGCGUAAAGAGCGCGCAGGCGGUCGAGUAAGUCGAGUGUGAAAGCCCCCGGCUCAACUGGGGAGGGUCACUCGAUACUGAUCGACUCGAAGGCAGGAGAGGGAAGUGGAAUUCCCGGUGUAGUGGUGAAAUGCGUAGAUAUCGGGAGGAACACCAGUGGCGAAGGCGACUUCCUGGCCUGUUCUUGACGCUGAGGCGCGAAAGCUAGGGGAGCAAACGGG